UACGUAGGGUGCGAGCGUUGUCCGGAAUUAUUGGCGUAAAGAGCUUGGAGGCGGUUUGUCGCGUCUGGUGUGAAAAUCCGGGGCUCAACCCCGGACUUGCAGUGGGUACGGGCAGACUAGAGUGUGGUAGGGGAGACUGGAAUUCCUGGUGUAGCGGUGAAAUGCGUAGAUAUCGGAAGGAACACCGGUGGCGAAAGCGGCGCGCUGGACCUCUUCUGACGCUGAGGCGCGAAAGCCAGGGGAGCAAACGGG
rnacentral:rRNA from 1 species